AAAUACGUGCCAGCAGCCGCGGUAAUACGUAUGUUCCAAGCGUUAUCCGGAUUUAUUGGGCGUAAAGCGAGCGCAGACGGUUAUUUAAGUCUGAAGUGAAAGCCCUCAGCUCAACUGAGGAAUUGCUUUGGAAACUGGAUGACUUGAGUGCAGUAGAGGAAAGUGGAACUCCAUGUGUAGCGGUGAAAUGCGUAGAUAUAUGGAAGAACACCAGUGGCGAAGGCGGCUUUCUGGACUGUAACUGACGUUGAGGCUCGAAAGUGUGGGUAGCAAACAGGAUUAGAUACCCUGGUAGUCCACACCGUAAACGAUGAGUGCUAGGUGUUUGAGGGUUUCCGCCCUUAAGUGCCGCAGCUAACGCAUUAAGCACUCCGCCUGGGGAGUACGACCGCAAGGUUGAAACUCAAAGGAAUUGACGGGGACCCGCACAAGCGGUGGAGCAUGUGGUUUAAUUCGAAACAACGCGAAGAACCUUACCAGGUCUUGACAUCCCUUGCUACUCCAGAGAUGGAGCGUUCCCUUCGGGG
rnacentral:rRNA from 1 species